GAAACUAAGGUCUACAAGAGUGAUAUAGUUGAUUGGAUGUAUCCCAAAGCUUUGUACAAGUUGGUUUCCCUUCAAUCAAUAGAAGUCUGCAAUUACAAUGACACCAAACUUUUAGGUACAUUGUGCAUCAAAUUUUGUAACAAAUCAAUUAGACAUACUAUUAUUUUCCCUUUAACGUGUUGAUUCUUAAAAUAUAUAUUGUAGAUAUUUUGGGAAUUGUCGUACAUGCAGGUAAAGCUUUUGUCUGUAAUGAUGACGCAACUCGUAUGCAAGAGGUUGUUGUUCUAGAUAGAAGCUGCGUUGCUGUUAGAUUGAUUCUUAUGAACCAAUUUGUUAGUGAAUAUGAAAACGAGGUUCAACAAAGUGCUGGAGAGUACAACACACUAUUGGCUUGUGGGGUGUAUGUUAGGAAAAUGAAUGCUUAUUUUCUAAUCACAGGAAGAUACACAAGGUUAUUUAUCAAUCCAGAUAAUGUAGAUGCAUCAACUCUAUUGGAUUGGUUUGUCUGUGAUAAUUUUGCCAAGAGGAAGAUGAAGUGGUUUAAUAAUUGUGGACUAUCAAUAAAUCGGGCAUUGUCGACUUCAAAUGCAAUCCAGACUACUAUAGCAAGCUACAAACAAAAAAGAAAAGUAUGUGAUACACAAUUAUUUACGUCGAAAUCAUUUUCUAGGAGAAUUUUACUUUUUCUAACCAAAUUAUUACUAUUUUGAUUAAUACGGAGGGAAAGCACUACAGAAUGGUUGGGAGAUUAAUUGAUAUCGAUGUUGAUAGUUUUGCAUGGUAUGAUGCUUGCAUAUUUUGUGGACUUGAUAUACAACAUGUUAGUGAGCAUAUCAUUUGUAGUAAUUGUAACAAAGAAAAGCCUCCAACAACUAUUAGUGUUUCUGGAUAUAUGACUAUCCUCGACUCUACCGGUACAAUGCGUGUUAAGCUCUUUACAAAACAGAUUGAGUUUAUACUCCAAUCAACUAAAGCAAAAUUGAAGCAUAUGUUUGAUGCGGUGCAUGAUAGAGUUUUGCUACGAUCCAAGCUUCUUACACAUGUGCGCAAUGCAUAUAUUUUCGUAUUUCAUCCUCUUCAUCUAUCGGCUUAUAUAGUAGACUAUGUAACUUUUGUCAACUGGGAAGAAGAAUGUGCAUAUUUAUUUA